rnacentral:rRNA from 1 species
UACGGGGGGGGCAAGCGUUGUUCGGAAUUACUGGGCGUAAAGGGCUCGUAGGCGGUUUGUCGCGUCGGGAGUGAAAACACCGGGCUUAACUCGGUGCUUGCUUUCGAUACGGGCAGACUAGAGGUAUUCAGGGGAGAACGGAAUUCCUGGUGUAGCGGUGAAAUGCGCAGAUAUCAGGAGGAACACCGGUGGCGAAGGCGGUUCUCUGGGAAUAUCCUGACGCUGAGGAGCGAAAGUGUGGGGAGCGAACAGG